GCUGAUUGGCACAGGCCAACAGGGCAAGGCGCUCUGUUAUGGAUUGUUCCAUGGAACACUGCAUUUCCCCAGAUGGUGGCAAAUCUGUAAGCUCGUAGCUAUGCUCACUCCAAUUAUUAUCUACCCUAGGGAAGAUAGGUGGCAAAUUUGCUUGGAAUAAGUAGUUUCUUUCUUCCUCUUGUCUUUUUUCUUAAAAGAGCUUGGUCCUUCUGUCAGGACAGUAUAUUCUUUCUAUGUACCAUUUUUUAUGGGUCCAGAAGAAACUACUAAUGGGAGCAGGCUGGAUAACAAAAUCUACAUUGGAGCAGAAUUGGGGCAGCGUUGGAAGAAGAGAGUACUAUUUUUUUGAAAAUAUUUCUUUUAGCUGAAGCCAUGCUCCACCAAGGCUGUGGCUGUCACCUGUCCUGGAAGACAUCUCCUGGAGCAAGAGCUAGGCACAGCUGGAUCUGGCAGCUCUGGCAACAGGUUGGCAUGCUCCAAAGGCAGUUGCUUGAUGUGAACAGACUUACUCUGCAGUCUGUACUUGGAAUGGUUCCUGGCUGUGCUCAAUGCUUCUGGUUUCCAGGAUGAUCCUCACCACCCAGCCUAGGCACAGCAUUGGAAGAAAAACAUGGCUCUUCACAAUUCAACUCUGCAGGUGAAGUUUUAUUCCCCUUUCUCAGGAGGAAAAUUUUCAUUUCUCUGUCAACAAAUGUUCCACUCUGCUAGGCUGAUACUGGGGUUAGUCUGAUUUAACACAGAAUAUUAGAGGGAAAGAAAGAAAGAGAGAGAGAAAGAGAGAAAGAGCAAAGUUUGGCUGAGCAAAAAGUCACCUGGAUGAAAACCUUCAAGUGGUGCUUGGCCUUUAUCCAAAACUGUCACGGUUGCUGCAUUGCCUGGCUCCACUGCCUGGAAAGCCCUUGCAGGGGGAGCAGAGCAUGGGGCCUACAGGUCUGUGUGCUCUUUCUAUGAGAGGAGUCUGGUUAUGCAUUAGGUGGUGGCUUCUAUCCUUCUCUCAUCAGCACUGAGACCAAAGAUAUACUGUAUGCAUUUUCCAGCUUGAACAUGUGCUAAGCAAAGCACUUCCAUACCUCAGGUAUGCAUGUCUACCAUCCUCUCACACAGAACUGAUGGGUCCCCUCUGCCUUUUCCCAGCCUGAACCUUGGCACCUUGCCUGAACCUGCUAGGGGGAGAGCCAGGCACUUGUGGAGUUAGAGGCUUCAAAUGGCAGUGCUUCAAAGCUGUGGUAUGGGCUGGGACUUCCAUGAGUCCCUGCUUACAACAGCUUGCCUUUCUCAGAAGUCCCCCUUUCCCCAUCCCAAAUAUCUUCUACAAGACGGCAAACU
rnacentral:lncRNA from 1 species